rnacentral:rRNA from 1 species
ACUCCUACGGGAGGCAGCAGUGGGGAAUAUUGCACAAUGGGCGCAAGCCUGAUGCAGCCAUGCCGCGUGUGUGAAGAAGGCCUUCGGUUGUAAAGCACUUUCAGUCGUGAGGAAGGUAGUGUAGUUAAUAGCUGCAUUAUUUGUACGUUAGCGACAGAAGAAGCACCGGCUAACUCCGUGCCAGCAGCCGCGGUAAUACGGAGGGUGCGAGCGUUAAUCGGAAUUACUGGGCGUAAAGCGCAUGCAGGUGGUUUGUUAAGUCAGAUGUGAAAGCCCGGGGCUCAACCUCGGAAUAGCAUUUGAAACUGGCAGACUAGAGUACUGUAGAGGGGGUAGAAUUUCAGGUGUAGCGGUGAAAUGCGUAGAGAUCUGAAGGAAUACCGGUGGCGAAGGCGGCCCCCUGGACAGAUACUGACACUCAGAUGCGAAAGCGUGGGGAGC